rnacentral:rRNA from 1 species
GACGAACGCUGGCGGCGUGCUUAACACAUGCAAGUCGAACGGAAAGGCCCUGCUUGCAGGGUACUCGAGUGGCGAACGGGUGAGUAACACGUGGGUGAUCUGCCCUGCACUUCGGGAUAAGCCUGGGAAACUGGGUCUAAUACCGGAUAGGAGCCAUUUUUAGUGUGAUGGUUGGAAAGUUUUUUUCGGUGUAGGAUGAGCUCGCGGCCUAUCAGCUUGUUGGUGGGGUAAUGGCCUACCAAGGCGGCGACGGGUAGCCGGCCUGAGAGGGUGGACGGCCACAUUGGGACUGAGAUACGGCCCAGACUCCUACGGGAGGCAGCAGUGGGGAAUAUUGCACAAUGGGCGCAAGCCUGAUGCAGCGACGCCGCGUGGGGGAUGACGGCCUUCGGGUUAUAAACUCCUUUCGCUAGGGACGAAGCUUUUUGUGACGGUACCUAGAGAAGAAGCACCGGCUAACUACGUG